rnacentral:rRNA from 1 species
UACAGAGGGUGCGAGCGUUAAUCGGAAUUACUGGGCGUAAAGCGCGCGUAGGCGGCUUUGCAAGCCGGAUGUGAAAUCCCCGGGCUUAACCUGGGAACUGCAUUCGGGACUGCAUUGCUAGAGUACGGGAGAGGGAAGUGGAAUUUCAGGUGUAGCGGUGAAAUGCGUAGAUAUCUGAAGGAACAUCAGUGGCGAAAGCGACUUCCUGGACCAAUACUGACGCUCAUGUGCGAAAGCGUGGGGAGCAAACAGG